rnacentral:rRNA from 1 species
GUGGGGAAUAUUGCACAAUGGGCGCAAGCCUGAUGCAGCAACGCCGCGUGAGGGAUGACGGCCUUCGGGUUGUAAACCUCUUUUAGUAGGGAAGAAGCGAAAGUGACGGUACCUGCAGAAAAAGCACCGGCUAACUACGUGCCAGCAGCCGCGGUAAUACGUAGGGUGCAAGCGUUGUCCGGAAUUAUUGGGCGUAAAGAGCUCGUAGGCGGCUUGUCGCGUCUGCUGUGAAAACCCGAGGCUCAACCUCGGGCCUGCAGUGGGUACGGGCAAGCUAGAGUGCGGUAGGGGAGAUUGGAAUUCCUGGUGUAGCGGUGGAAUGCGCAGAUAUCAGGAGGAACACCGAUGGCGAAGGCAGAUCUCUGGGCCGUAACUGACGCUGAGGAGCGAAAGCAUGGGGAGCGAACAGGAUUAGAAACCCGUGUAGUCC